GACGAACGCUGGCGGCGUGCUUAACACAUGCAAGUCGAACGGAAGGGCCUCUUUCGGGGGGUACUCGAGUGGCGAACGGGUGAGUAACACGUGAGUAACCUGCCCUUGACUUUGGGAUAACUUCAGGAAACUGGGGCUAAUACCGGAUAGGAGCUCCUGCUGCAUGGUGGGGGUUGGAAAGUUUCGGCGGUUGGGGAUGGACUCGCGGCUUAUCAGCUUGUUGGUGGGGUAGUGGCUUACCAAGGCUUUGACGGGUAGCCGGCCUGAGAGGGUGACCGGCCACAUUGGGACUGAGAUACGGCCCAGACUCCUACGGGAGGCAGCAGUGGGGAAUAUUGCACAAUGGGUGGAAGCCUGAUGCAGCAACGCCGUGUGCGGGAUGACGGCCUUCGGGUUGUAAACCGCUUUCGCUCAUGACGAAGCUUUGUGUGACGGUAGUGGGUAAAGAAGCACCGGCUAACUACGUGC
rnacentral:rRNA from 1 species